rnacentral:rRNA from 1 species
AUGGGGAUCUUCUCAAGGUCGAUCGAGCCGCACGUUUUCAUCCAAGGCCGCCAUUUUCUUGGGGGCACGCGGCGCUGGUGGAUACCAUUGGGUGGUGGCAUGGGGGGGAGCACGAGGAUGGCAGGUUGCGGAGGGGAACUGAGCAGCAUCAGUGGUGGCGAUUCUGGACGCCUAUUUCCCCUGCAGCUCACGAGAUCGGGAGGGUGA